rnacentral:sRNA from 1 species
CACCAUUGUUCCAUCUGCGAGGAGCACCCUUUCUGCAGACAGUAAAAAUUGCCUUGCUGAGGAAAUUAAAUAUAUCUUAAGGAUUCUGAGUUGAAGAGCACAGAGCUGCAGGAGAAAGUGACUGAGCUGGAGAGUUUGCUGGAGGAGACCCAGGCAAUCUGCAGAGAGAAGGAGAUUCAAGUGGAAAGCCUGAGGCAGAGAGAAGCAGAAUUCUCCUCCACUGGACAUAGCCUGCAAGAUAAACAGUCUGUGGAGGAGACCAGUGGAGAAGGUCCAGAAGUGGAAAUGGAGUCCUGGCAGAAGCAAUAUGAUUCGCUCCAAAAGAUUGUGGAGAAGCAGCAGCAGAAGAUGGAUCAGUUGCGCUCACAAGUACAGAGCCUAGAGCAGGAAGUGGCUCAAGAAGAAGGAACAAGCCAGGCCCUGAGAGAGGAGGCCCAGCGAAGGGAUUCAGCCCUGCAGCAGUUGCGCACAGCCGUGAAGGAGCUUUCAGUGCAAAACCAGGACUUGAUUGAGAAGAAUCUGACGCUCCAGGAACACCUGCGCCAGGCCCAACCAGGGUCUCCACCUUCACCAGACACGGCCCAGCUGGCACUUGAGCUGCACCAGGAGUUGGCCAGUUGCCUUCAAGAUCUGCAGGCUGUCUGUAGCAUUGUGACCCAGAGGGCCCAGGGCCAUGACCCCAAUCUCUCCCUGCUUCUGGGCAUUCACUCAGCACAGCACCCAGAGACUCAGCUAGAUUUGCAGAAGCCAGAUGUGAUCAAGAGGAAACUAGAAGAGGUUCAACAGCUGCGUCGUGACAUUGAGGACUUAAGGACCACCAUGUCAGACAGAUAUGCCCAGGACAUGGGAGAAAACUGUGUCACACAGUGAGGAAUUCUGGGGGAUUCCCCCAGGGAGGAGCUGGGCUGCUGAGAGCCUAGUCCAGCAGGUUUCUGCCCUGACAUUCUCUUGUCUGCUAUUCCCAGAGAGAGGUCUCAGAGGGGAGGGGAGAGCCUGCAUCUGGGGGCCAAGGGCUGAUUAGGGAACUGUGUCCUACCCCACACUGGCAUGUUGGAUUACGUUUGUCCUGUUAAUUCACUCUUGACGGUGAGUUACUAAUUAACUUUUGGCAGGUACAACAGAUAAGUCCUCACAAACUGUUCCCAGCCCUAGGCUGACAUGAGAGACGAACAGGCUGUCCACCUUUCUUCUCCAUCCAAUGGGAUGGAUCCAUGUUCAUUCCCACUUCACACCUUGGUCCUGCUGAUCAGAGAGCUCAUCAGAGGGGCCUGGAAAGGCUGAGCAAGUACCAGUAACAAUGGCCAUUUAAGAAUUCUCAGGCCCCAUGUGCCAGCCUUCCUGGGAACUGAGCUGGCUUUCUGGGUUUUCUCAUGCCUGGUCUCACUGCUUCUUCCUCAGGGCUCUUGUUCUCCCAGAAGCCUCAGGGUAACGUGUUGGUUAGCACGUAACUACUAGGAUUGGGGCCCUAGGGAUUAUAGCCGGGACUCUAAUCUGCCUACCAUGCCAUUUAACAAGAGAUCCCACUCUCCAGCUGCCUUGUGUCCCUAGGGCCCUGGCCAUGUGUUUAGCACAGCCCCUUUCUCCUUUGUUCUCAGGCCUUCCAGGUAGUCCCCUUCCUGGACUUAAGAGUGCUAACUCUUCUCUGUGGUUCUAGCCUUGGACAGAAUUAUAUCCCAGAGACCACAGAGCAACUGUCAAGCUGCUUACCCCCUGACCCAGGGCUACAGCCUGUGCCCAGCCCUCUAAUUUGUGCCUCUCUUGUGUUGGGGGCAGUGGGGGUUAUUUCUUUCCCUUUCCUGCUCUGGCCUCCUUGAAAGUUCAGAGUACCCAGUACAAGUCAGCUUUAAAGUACAGCUUUUAGUGUUUCCUGGGUUGUUUCUCUGGGACUUUAGGGCGAGCCCUUUGCCCUCUGGUUUUUCUUGCCUCCUGGUUUAGGGAGCAUCUCACACUUGUUAGUAUCUGGUUGUUGGGCCAGCCAUGCCUCCUCUAGAUCUGGAGCCAGGCCAGGCAAGGGCCACGUGUGGGCCAGUCAGCCACUAUAAGAUUUUUGCUAAGCUUUGGGCUGUUGGCAGCAUCUUGGACCUCAUGCCUGGGCCUGAAUGAGGCUCUUUCUUAAGUGUUUUUACAAGUUUGUGUUUUAUUUAUGGAGUGACUUAUCCCUUCCAUUCAGAGCAGCCCCACCCAGCCAGCCCUUCAGCCUCUGGGCUCCUGCCUCUUAAAGGCAGAGCUGCCUGGUUGGUCUCCACCCUGUGCAUUGGGAGCCCAGCCACCAUGCUCACGGGUAUCUUUCCUCAUAAAGUUUAUAACCAGUUAUUUAUAUGAAUCUUUGUUAUGUCCACUUGUUUGUAUUGCCUAUUUUGAUUAUAAAAUAAAGUAUCUUAACAGA